AGUAAUCCAGUUCGAGAUGUCCAAGAGUCAGUGAUGAAAGACUGAUGAUCAGGAAAGAAACUGCAUCUGGAUAUAAAGAUCUAAGAAUCAUCUGCAUAGACAUGUUUCUCCAAAGGAAAAAGAAAUCAAUCAAGAGUUGGAGAAAAUGUCAGCCUAGAAAAUCAUCCCACCGAUUUCAAGCUACCAGUCUUGUCCAAAGUACUCUGCUAUUGAUCUUCAACUCAGCAUUAAUGAAAGACCUCCCUUACAUGUGUCAGAUCAGAUUAAAGAGAUACUAGUUUGUGGAAGCAUCCAGAAAGCAGAAACACUGAACACUAAGGACACUUGAGCGGCUAUUCCUCCGCCUUACUUGCUCUAAUACUACAUGACGGUUUUUCUUAUCUGCCUUGGUUAAUUCAUUUUAUAGUACUAUC